rnacentral:rRNA from 2 species
AGGGUGCAGGGCGGAUGCCUUGGCACUAGGAGCCGAUGAAGGACGUGAUAAGCUGCGAUAAGCUUCGGGGAGUUGCACGUAAACUUUGAUCCGAAGAUUUCCGAAUGAGGAAACUCACUUAGAGUAAUGUCUAAGUAUCAUUAAGUGAAUACAUAGCUUAAUGAGGGGAACUCAGGGAACUGAAACAUCUAAGUACCUGAAGGAAGAGAAAGAAAUUCGAUUCCGUAAGUAGCGGCGAGCGAACGCGGAUUAGCCCAAACCAAUAAAGUUUUCUUUAUUGGGGUUGCGGACAUAUCAUAACGAAGAGGUAUCGUAAUUGAAGAGGUUUGGAAAGACCCACCACAGAAGGUAAUAGUCCUGUAUGUUAAACGAGAAGACUUCAGAUAUGAUCCAGAGUACCACGGGACACGUGAAACCCUGUGGGAAGCAGGAGGGACCACCCUCCAAGGCUAAAUACUACCUAGUGACCGAUAGCGUAUAGUACCGUGAGGGAAAGGUGAAAAGAACCCCGGGAGGGGAGUGAAAUAGAACCUGAAACCCUGCACUUACAAGCUGUGGAAGCACAUUUCUUGUGUGACCGCGUACUUUUUGUAGAACGGGCCAACGAGUUACGUUAAGUAGCAAGGUUAAGCACUUAAGGUGCGGAGCCGUAGCGAAAGCGAGUUUUAACUGAGCGUUCAGUUACUUGACGUAGACCCGAAACCGGGCGACCUACCCAUGAGCAGGAUGAAGCGAAAGUAAAAUUUCGUGGAGGUCCGAACCCACGAGCGUUGAAAAGCUCGGGGAUGACUUGUGGGUAGCGGUGAAAUUCCAAUCGAGCCCGGAGAUAGCUGGUUCUCCCCGAAAUAGCUUUAGGGCUAGCCUCAAGGUGAGAGAUACGGAGGUAGAGCACUGAAUGUCCUAGGGGGUAUUGCACCUACCGAAGACUAUCAAACUCCGAAUGCCGUCAUCUUAUACUUGGGAGUCAGACUGUGGGUGAUAAGAUUCAUAGUCGAAAGGGCAACAGCCCAGAUCGUCAGCUAAGGUCCCUAAAUGUAAGUUAAGUGGUAAAGGAUGUGGGAUUGCACAGACAACCAGGAUGUUGGCUUAGAAGCAGCCACUCAUUCAAAGAGUGCGUAAUAGCUCACUGGUCGAGUGAUCCUGCGCCGAAGAUUUCCGGGGCUAAAACUUACUACCGAAGCUACGGCAUCAGUAAUGAUGGGUAGGGGAGCUUCCCAUACGGGUUGAAGCAUGACCGUAAGGACAUGUGGACAGUAUGGGAGUGAGAAUGUUGGCAUGAGUAGCGAGAUGUGGGUGAGAAUCCCACAGGCCGUAAACCCAAGGUUUCCAGGGGAAGGUUCGUCCGCCCUGGGUUAGUCGGGACCUAAGCUGAGGCCGAAAGGCGUAGGUGAUGGACAACAGGUUGAUAUUCCUGUACUACCGAUAACCGUUUGAGAGAAGGGAUGACACAGUAGGAUAAGCUAAGCACACUGUUGGUUAUGUGUGCCCAAGCAUUGAGGCAGUCAAAGCAGGCAAAUCCGCUUUGAUAAUGCUGGGAUGUGAUGGGGAGCGAAAUUUAGUAGCGAAGUAGCUGAUUUCACACUGUCAAGAAAAGUCUCUAUCGAGGUUAAAGGUACCCGUACCGCAAACCGACACAGGUGGGUGAGGAGAGUAUCCUAAGGCCAGCGAGAGAACUGUUGUUAAGGAACUCGGCAAAAUGACCCCGUAACUUAGGGAUAAGGGGUGCCACCAUCCGGUGGCCGCAGAGAAUAGGCCCAAGCGACUGUUUACCAAAAACAUAGGUUUCUGCUAAGUCGCAAGACGAUGUAUAGGAGCUGACGCCUGCCCGGUGCUGGAAGGUUAAGGGGAUCUGUUAGAGCAAUCGAAGCAGUGAACUUAAGCCCCAGUAAACGGCGGCCGUAACUAUAACGGUCCUAAGGUAGCGAAAUUCCUUGUCGGGUAAGUUCCGACCCGCACGAAAGGCGUAACGAUUUGGGCACUGUCUCAACAACAGACUCGGUGAAAUUGUAAUUCCGGUGAAGAUGCCGGAUACCUGCGACAGGACGGAAAGACCCCAUGGAGCUUUACUGUAGCUUGACAUUGGGUCUUGGUACUACAUGUACAGGAUAGGUGGGAGGCUUUGAAACCAGGACGCCAGUUUUGGCGGAGCCAUCCUUGGGAUACCACCCUUGUAGUACUGGGACUCUAACCAUAGGCCAUGAAUCUGGUCUUGGGACACUGUCAGGUGGGCAGUUUGACUGGGGCGGUCGCCUCCCAAAAGGUAACGGAGGCGCUCAAAGGUUCUCUCAGUACGGUCGGAAAUCGUACGUAGAGUGUAAAGGCAAAAGAGAGCUUGAUUGCAAGACAUACAGGUCGAGCAAGGAUGAAAAUCGGACUUAGUGAUCCGGUGGUUCUGCGUGGAAGGGCCAUCGCUCAACGGAUAAAAGCUACCCUGGGGAUAACAGGCUUAUCUCCCCCAAGAGUCCACAUCGACGGGGAGGUUUGGCACCUCGAUGUCGGCUCAUCACAUCCUGGGGCUGUAGUAGGUCCCAAGGGUUGGGCUGUUCGCCCAUUAAAGUGGUACGCGAGCUGGGUUCAGAACGUCGUGAGACAGUUCGGUCCCUAUCCGUCGCAGGCGUAGGAAAUUUGAGAAGACCUGUCCUUAGUACGAGAGGACCGGGAUGGACGUACCUCUGGUGUACCAGUUGUUCUGCCAAGGGCAUGGCUGGGUAGCUAUGUACGGAAUGGAUAAGCGCUGAAAGCAUCUAAGCGCGAAGCCAACUUCAAGAUAAGAUUUCCCACCGCAAGGGUAAGACCCCAGAAAGACUAUCUGGUUGA